rnacentral:rRNA from 1 species
GAUGAACGCUGGCGGCGUGCUUAACACAUGCAAGUCGAACGAAACACCUUAUUUGAUUUUUUUCGGAACUGAAGAUUUGGUGAUUGAGUGGCGGACGGGUGAGUAACGCGUGGGUAACCUGCCCUGUACAGGGGGAUAACAGUCAGAAAUGACUGCUAAUACCGCAUAAGACCACAGCACCGCAUGGUGCAGGGGUAAAAACUCCGGUGGUACAGGAUGGACCCGCGUCUGAUUAGCUGGUUGGUGAGGUAACGGCUCACCAAGGCGACGAUCAGUAGCCGGCUUGAGAGAGUGAACGGCCACAUUGGGACUGAGACACGGCCCAAACUCCUACGGGAGGCAGCAGUGGGGAAUAUUGCACAAUGGGGGAAACCCUGAUGCAGCGACGCCGCGUGAGUGAAGAAGUAUCUCGGUAUGUAAAGCUCUAUCAGCAGGGAAGAAAAUGACGGUACCUGACUAAGAAGCCCCGGCUAACUACGUGCCAGCAGCCGCGGUAAUACGUAGGGGGCAAGCGUUAUCCGGAAUUACUGGGUGUAAAGGGUGCGUAGGUGGUAUGGCAAGUCAGAAGUGAAAACCCAGGGCUUAACUCUGGGACUGCUUUUGAAACUGUCAG